rnacentral:rRNA from 1 species
UCCCCGCACAAGCAGCGGAGCGUGUGGUUUAAUUCGAUGCUACACGAAGAACCUUACCUGGGUUUGACAUAGAGGUAGUAGGGAAGCGAAAGCGGACCGACCCUUCGGGGAGCCUCUACAGGUGUUGCAUGGCUGUCGUCAGCUCGUGUCGUGAGAUGUUCGGUUAAGUCCGCUAACGAGCGCAACCCUCGCUGUGUGUUACAAGUGUCACACGGUACUGCCGAUAUUAAGUCGGAGGAAGGUGGGGAUGACGUCAAGUCAGCAUGACCUUUAUAUCCAGGGCUACACACACGCUACAAUGGUCUGUACAAUGGGUAGCCAAGCCGCGAGGCGGAGCCAAUCCUGAAAGCAGGCCUCAGUUCAGAUUGCAGUCUGCAACUCGACUGCAUGAAGCCGGAGUUGCUAGUAACCGCAGGUCAGCAAUACUGCGGUGAAUACGUUCCCGGGUCUU